ACUCCUACGGGAGGCAGCAGUGGGGAAUAUUGCACAAUGGGGGAAAGCCCUGAUGCAGCCAUGCCGCGUGUAUGAAGAAGGCCUUCGGGUUGUAAAGUACUUUCAGCAGUGAGGAAGGUAGUGUAGUUAAUAGCUGCAUUAUUUGACGUUAGCUGCAGAAGAAGCACCGGCUAACUCCGUGCCAGCAGCCGCGGUAAUACGGAGGGUGCAAGCGUUAUCCGGAAUCAUUGGGUUUAAAGGGUCCGCAGGCGGACGUAUAAGUCAGUGGUGAAAGCCUACAGCUUAACUGUAGAACUGCCAUUGAUACUGUAUGUCUUGAAUUCGGUCGAAGUGGGCGGAAUGUGUCAUGUAGCGGUGAAAAUGCAUAGAUAUGACACAGAACACCGAUAGCGAAGGCAGCUCACUAGGCCUGAAUU
rnacentral:rRNA from 1 species